GCGACGAUGGGUAGCCGGCCUGAGAGGGUGGCCGCCCACACUGGGACUGAGACACGGCCCAGACUCCUACGGGAGGCAGCAGUGGGGAAUUUUGCGCAAUGCUCGUAAGAGUGACGCAGCGACGCCGCGUGAAUGACGAAGGCCUUCGGGUCGUAAAGUUCUUUCGACAGGGAAGAAAAUGCCUAUAAGUAACUGUGUAUGUAUUGACGGUACCUGUAUAAGCAGCCCCGGCUAACUCCGUGCCAGCAGCCGCGGUAAUACGGAGGGGGCGAGCGUUGUUCGGAGUGACUGGGCGUAAAGAGCACGUAGGCGGUGUUGUAAGUCAUUAGUCAAAGACUAGAGCUCAACUUUAGUAAGGCUAGUGAUACUAUAAUACUAGAGUAUCAGAGAGGAUUGCAGAAUUCCUGGUGUAGCGGUGAAAUGCGUAGAUAUCAGGAGGAAUACCGUUAGCGAAGGCGGCAAUCUGGCUGGAAACUGACGCUGAGGUGCGAAAGCGUGGGUAGCAAACAGGAUUAGAUACCCUGGUAGUCCACGCUGUAAACGAUGGAUGCUAGGUGUUGGGCUUUUAAGUUCA
rnacentral:rRNA from 1 species